rnacentral:rRNA from 1 species
AACGUAGGUGGCGAGCGUUAUCCGGAUUUACUGGGCGUAAAGGGUGUGCAGGCGGGCUGUUAAGUGGUGCAUGAAAUCUCCGCGCUUAACGUGGAGAGGCUGUGCCAGACUGGCAGUCUAGAGUACGGGAGAGGGUUGUGGAAUUCCGGGUGUAGUGGUGAAAUGCGUAGAGAUCCGGAGGAACACCAGAGGCGAAGGCGGCAACCUGGCUCGUUACUGACGCUCAUACACGACAGCAUGGGGAGCGAACGGG